rnacentral:rRNA from 1 species
UGGGGAAUAUUGGACAAUGGGCGCAAGCCUGAUCCAGCCAUGCCGCGUGGGUGAAGAAGGCCUUCGGGUUGUAAAGCCCUUUUGUUGGGAAAGAAAAGCAGUCGGUUAAUACCCGGCUGUCAUGACGGUACCCAAAGAAUAAGCACCGGCUAACUUCGUGCCAGCAGCCGCGGUAAUACGAAGGGUGCAAGCGUUACUCGGAAUUACUGGGCGUAAAGCGUGCGUAGGUGGUGAUUUAAGUCAGAUGUGAAAGCCCUGGGCUCAACCUGGGAACUGCAUUUGAUACUGGGUCACUAGAGUGCGGUAGAGGAUAGCGGAAUUCCUGGUGUAGCAGUGAAAUGCGUAGAGAUCAGGAGGAACAUCCGUGGCGAAGGCGGCUAUCUGGGCCAGCACUGACACU